UCAUUUGGGUGCCUAUGUGACCACUGUCCAGGGAUCAACUGUACACGAUGCUGCCGUGGAUGGUCGUCGUCUGCUUUGUUCUGACGUCACACACUCUCCUCACCUUGGAGACAUUCGACUGUAACUCUGGGUCGAGUGUGUUCCAGGCCAUCUAUGACGAGGUCAACAAACCGAGCAACAAUCGCUCUUUGUGCUUCUACCUGAGACUAUGCAGAAUUCGCCCAAUGCCUAAACAGUGUUCAAAUUCAAUUGGUACCUGGCACAGAUGACAGACAGAUAAACACACAGUUGUGACUGGAGACCGCUCGUUGUUUGGCUUGACGGAGAUGUCUUUUUAUGUGUGACUUCGUGUCUUUUUUGAGCUUGUGAUAUUUUUUCCGCUGUUGAAAAUAUUUUGUAAAUAAAAGUGUAAAAACUCCUUUAUGAACGGAGAGUU
rnacentral:lncRNA from 1 species